rnacentral:ncRNA from 2 species
CCCUAUUCUCAGGGCGGGGUGAAAUUCCCCACCGGCGGUGACUCCUUGUGAGAAGCCCGCGAGCGCCUUUAUUAUUGGGAUAAAGGGUCAGCAGAUCUGGUGAGAUUCCAGAGCCGACGGUUAUAGUCCGGAUGAAAGAGGAUAUUC